GGCCAUCGGGUGUGAGAGAAGUAGAGAUCGCGUAGCCACAUCUCUAAUGAAAAAGGGUGGUUUGCGGUAGCCACUGCGAGCCCGAUUAGAAAAGAAGAGAAAUCCCCCAGCGACGAUCUCGCACGAGAAAGAAAGGAAAAAGAAGAAGAGAGGGAGACGUGAGAGCGGCCAAGGCAGCAAGCUCGAGGGAGAAAAGUGGAGGCGCAAGGUGGCUUGCGAGCGCGAGGGUCAAGCGGGCAACCGCAAGCCAGACUGAGUUAGCCUCUGCCCGUAAGGGAAGGAAACCGAGCGAGAAAAGAGAGAGGCGGGCUGUUUUACUCGCGAGCAAGGGAGAUUUGGGUAGAGGGUGGUGUGUGUGAGUGGAGGAGCCAACCGCAAGAGGCUAGGCCACAAGGGAGGGUUAUCGUGGAUGCGAGUUCACGCGCAGGGGGCUAUUCCCUCAUGCGCAAGGGAAGCUGCAUGCGGGUGUCGGGAGGGCUGAUGUGCGGUUUUCACUCGCGGGAGGGGGGAGGGGACAUGGGCCAAUAAGGCUGAGUGCACCGCGCGCGCGGGUGCUUUCAUCGCUACAUGGGUGCGUGUUCGCACAUGGGAUGGGAAAACUGUGUGGAUCCACUUCGCGUUGAGGUUGUGCACAUGGCGGAUUCGCAAUCCGAGAACUCUUCGCCGUCGCGUGAGUUCUUUGAAAAAGAAAUUGAAAGACAAGAUGGCUGAAUUUCAGGAAAGUAGAGCCUUUGUGAGUUUCAACUUCGGAUUGAGGAUAUAGAUUUUGUUUUUUUGUGAGUUAAAGAUCUCUUUGCUUUCUCCUUCUCCAUUCUCGCAUUUUUUUUCAAAUUGUGAUCUUUUUUAGAGUUCGGAAUUCGAAUUAUUUCUCUGUCAAGGUUAUUCAACCUCAUCCUCCAGCAAUGAACAACAUUUUAAAGGUAAUAUCUUUAAGAAUUGACUUAUUUUAGAUUUGUUUUCUUUGUGUGUAUUUAUGCUCUUUGUUUUUGGCUUUGUUUUGAUCUAGGUUUGGUUACGAUAGUUGUGUUUAUUUUAGUGGAUCAUGAUUAGCGAAGGUAACGAAGUUUUUUGUUCUUUAAUCCUAGUUUUUAGAUCAUCGGUUUGGCUGCUAAAAAAUAAAUAUGAAUCAAAAUCCAAUGUCAUUGAUACAGUUUUAGGAUCUUAUCCAGAAAACAAAAAUUUAAAAAGAAAAGAAAAUAUUAUUAGUUAUUAGCUUGUGCUUAAUGAAAAAUUUUUAAGUUUAGCUAGCUAGCUAUUUUUUUUUCUCUCUUUUCUUGAUCUCUUUAUACCUUGUACAUUUAUACUUUCAAUUCAUUAUCUAACUUGUCUUCAGCAAAAAAAGUGAUGUGUACGUAUGGUUUAUAACACAACAAUUUUGUGUUCUGACAGAGCGUAGUUAUAUUAUGAUGUUUGCAAGGUAGCCUGUUUUUUUGGUGAGAGAUUUUUAUUUUUCUUGGUUAUUGAUAAAAUUUGAUGCUUAUGUGCGUCCAACAUUACUUUAUUUUCUGUCUAUUUUUUUAACCAAUUAAAUGAUAACUGCAGUGAAUCAUUCUUUUGAUUCAGUAUUUGGAUAUAACAUUCUCUUACUUUGCAUAUUUUGGCAAUUUCAUGGAUAUGUUUUACAUGGAGGAUUUAGCUUGAGAUCGAUGGGUAUUAUAUUUUUAUGCUAACACUAAAAAGUGUUUAUGGUGUUUUCAGAGGGUAACUUAUUACUGGUAUUUUAAACUUUUUUUCCGAUGCCUGAUGGACAACAGGGACGUACAUGGGAGUAUUGCAUUUAUAAGUUAUGAUUAUGUUAGGUUUAUGUAGAAAGUUGGAUUUUCUGAACAAACAAUUAGUCAUUUGAUGGUUUGUGUAAUUUAUCUUUAUUUGGUGAUUCUCUAGGAAAGUCACAAGGCAGAUAUGAUGUACAAGAGCAGGAACUCCUUACAUGAAUGUUUUGUUUUAGGGACUGGAUGUAGAACCAUUUCGGAGUCUUAAAGGUUGUAAGCUGAUCAAAAUUUAAGAGUUGAAGGCAUGUGAAUUUGAAGUGACCUGAUGUCAUAUCUCUUCGCUGGAGUAUUAGGUAUACAUUUAUUAGGAAAAAAUAGUGUUAUAAUAGAAGUGAAAAGCAUAACUAGGAUUUAAUUUUCACUAAAUGUGCACAUAUACAAGCAGAAGGAAUUGAAUCUUUUAACUCAUGGGAGCCAGAUUAACUGCGGUUAAAUGUUCCUGUGGCCCACUUGUUUGCUACUUAUGAGGGAGGUAAGUUGUGGUUAUUUUGUUUGAUUAGAAAAUUGUAAGUGCAUCUGAGUUGUGCAAGCAUGGAUGUCUUCUGCAGACUAGUUGGCUAUCGCCUCUUAGUCUACAGACUUCUAGAAGCUAUACUGUCAAUAAGAGAUCUUCUUUGCUCUUAUUCUCCCAUCCAUUAUGCUCUAUUUGAAGUGUGGCUUUCUAAUUUAACUCAUGUCACUAUUCUAAGUAGUAAAGCAGGCUCCUAGUACUCUAGAGUCAUAUUGAGGGUCCCUUAUUCUAAUUGAUCUCUACAUAAAGGUAGGUUGUGUGGAAAAAAGUUUAUUUACUUAUAGGGUUGGAAGAUUGAGAUGUGAAGUUUGGUGAGUGCCUAAAGGGUGGCACCAUUAUGUUUUAUGCGUGGGGAAGUCAGAGCAAAUUAAUUUUCUGCGUCAGUAUAGUUUUUUUUCUCCUUUUGUUUUACAUUUUCCCCUUCUCGUUUAGAUCUUUUAAAAACCUUCUCAAGUUUUUGAUUUUCAAUCCAAAGCAAGGUCUAAUUCCUUAUAUACUUGAAUUAAAUACAUAGACAUUGACAUGUUUGAUGGUGUUUGCCAAUGCUAUUAAUAUUUGACUAACGAUGGAUUCAAGUCUUAUUAUAUGGCAGGGAAAUUGAUUAUAUAGCAUCAAUUGGACUGGUAUACCAUAUGAGAGCUAGCUGAUAAGUUCUUGUUUAAGAGGCUGAUUGCCUUUGGGUUUUGAGAUUGUGAGCAGUAAACUUCAAUUUGUCUUAUGGUAAAAGAAUAAAGGAUAAUUUCCUUGGAAAGAACAAA